rnacentral:rRNA from 1 species
GAUGAACGCUGGCGGCGUGCCUAAUACAUGCAAGUCGAGCGAAGCGGGGACGGGUGAGUAACACGUGGAUAACCUCCUAUAAGACUGGGAUAACUUCGGGAAACCGGAGCUAAACCGGAAACUUAUAGAUGGAUCCGCGCUGCAUUCGCUAGUUGGUAAGGUAACGGCUUACCAAGGCAACGAGGCAUGGCCGACCGGAGAGGGUGAUCGGCAACACUGGAACGGAGAAACGGUCCAGACUCCUACGGGAGGCGGCAGUAGGGAAUCUUCCGCAAUGGGCGAAAGCCUGACGGAGAAACGCGGCGUGAGGGAUGAAGGUCUUCGGAUCGGAAAACUCUGUUAUUAGGGAAGCGGUACCUAAUCAGAAAGCCACGGCUAACUACGUGCCAGCAGCCGCGGUAAUAC